GCAUAUCAAUAAGCGGAGGAAAAGAAAAUAACAAUGAUUCCCCUAGUAACGGCGAGUGAAGCGGGGAAAAGCUCAAGGUUAAAAUCUCCAAGGCCCCUUUGUUUGUCUUGGCGAAAUGUAAUCUAUGGAUUGUGGAUUUUAUGGUCAGUAGUUCCUUUUUCAUAACUAAAACUGGUUGAAUCCAGUACCAAUGAGGGUGGAAGUCCCGUUCAUGGUUAUGAGAGGAGUUGCUAUUGUACCCCACUUUUCUCGAGUCGGGUUGUUUGGGAAUGCAGCCCUAAUUGGGAGGUAAAUUUCUCCUAAAGCUAAAUAUUUGCAAGAGACCGAUAGCAUACAAGUACCGUGAGGGAAAGGUGAAAAGUACUCUGAAGAGAGAGUGAAAAGUACGUGAAACUGUUGGUAGGGAACCGUUUGCACAGCACACUUGGCCUUGUGUUUAAACAUACAUGGCCAGCCUUGCAGCAAUUUCUUUUGCCUGAAAAAGCUUAUUGGAAGGUAGGGAGUCAUCAGAUUAUUUUUAAUAGUCCGGCUUCUGUUAUAGACGAUAGGUAAUAAGGUGGAUAGAGAUUGAGGCUUGCUAAGCAGUGGGAAAUUUAUUUCCUACGGACCAUCUUAUGCCCCCAUGCUUUAACCUUUGACUUGACAUUUCUAUGACAGUUUUAGGGAUAACAUUUAAGCUGGCUUGAAAGGCGUAGGGUUAUGGGACAAAUGCUUAAUGGUUGUAGGGAAGUGCUGAACAAUCGACCCGUCUUGAAACACGGACC
rnacentral:rRNA from 1 species